rnacentral:rRNA from 1 species
CCCUUAGAUGUUCUGGGCAGCACGCGCGCUACAAUGGUCUUCGCAAACGGAUGCAUUCUCGAAGGAGAAUGCCAAUCUUGGAAUCUAUGCCUUGGUCGGGACAGUUGCUUGCAAUUUUUCGACUCGAACCAGGAAUUCCUUGUAAUCGUGAUUCAUCACAUCACGAUGAAUACGUCCCUGCCCUUUGUACACACCGCCCGUCGCUCCUACCGAUCGAAGAGUUAGGUGAAUUGUUUUGAUCGAUAAGAUUUGACUAUGGUCAACUCUCGUUGUGAAAUUCUGUGAAUCUGACAGUUUAGAGGAAGGAAAAGUCGUAACA